GACGAACGCUGGCGGCGUGCCUAAUACAUGCAAGUAGAACGCUGAAGAGAGGAGCUUGCUCUUCUUGGAUGAGUUGCGAACGGGUGAGUAACGCGUAGGUAACCUGCCUUGUAGCGGGGGAUAACUAUUGGAAACGAUAGCUGAUACCGCAUAACAAUGGAUGACACAUGUCAUUUAUUUGAAAGGGGCAAUUGCUCCACUACAAGAUGGACCUGCGUUGUAUUAGCUAGUAGGUGAGGUAAUGGCUCACCUAGGCGACGAUACAUAGCCGACCUGAGAGGGUGAUCGGCCACACUGGGACUGAGACACGGCCCAGACUCCUACGGGAGGCAGCAGUAGGGAAUCUUCGGCAAUGGGGGCAACCCUGACCGAGCAACGCCGCGUGAGUGAAGAAGGUUUUCGGAUCGUAAAGUUCUGUUGUAAGUCAAGAACGGGUGUGAGAGUGGAAAGUUCACACUGUGACGGUAGCUUACCAGAAAGAGACGGCUAACUACGUG
rnacentral:rRNA from 1 species